rnacentral:misc_RNA from 1 species
GAACGCACAUUGCGCCCGCUAGUAUUCUGGCGGGCAUGCCUGUUCGAGCGUCAUUUCAACCAUCAAGCCCUAGGCUUGUGUUGGGGCCCUGCGGCCGUCCGCAGCCCCCUAAAAACAGUGGCGGGCUCGCUAUAUACCGAGUGUAGUAGUUUACUCUUCGCUCAGGACAUGUAGUGGGUUCUUGCCGUAAAACCCCCCAUUUUUUAAGGUUGACCUCAAAUCAGGUAGGACUACCCGCUGAACUUA